UACGUAGGGUGCAAGCGUUAAUCGGAAUUACUGGGCGUAAAGCGUGCGCAGGCGGUUGUGCAAGACAGGUGUGAAAUCCCCGGGCUUAACCUGGGAACUGCACUUGUGACUGCACAGCUGGAGUACGGCAGAGGGGGAUGGAAUUCCGCGUGUAGCAGUGAAAUGCGUAGAUAUGCGGAGGAACACCGAUGGGCGAAGGCAGUCCCCUGGGCCUGUACUGACGCUCAUGCACGAAAGCGUGGGGAGCAAACAGG
rnacentral:rRNA from 1 species